GAUGAACGCUGGCGGCGUGCCUAAUACAUGCAAGUCGAGCGAACAGACGAGGAGCUUGCUCCUCUGACGUUAGCGGCGGACGGGUGAGUAACACGUGGAUAACCUACCUAUAAGACUGGGAUAACUUCGGGAAACCGGAGCUAAUACCGGAUAAUAUAUUGAACCGCAUGGUUCAAUAGUGAAAGACGGUUUUGCUGUCACUUAUAGAUGGAUCCGCGCCGCAAUAGCUAGUUGGUAAGGUAACGGCUUACCAAGGCAACGAUGCGUAGCCGUCCUGAGAGGGUGAUCGGCCACACUGGAACUGAGACACGGUCCAGACUCCUACGGGAGGCAGCAGUAGGGAAUCUUCCGCAAUGGGCGAAAGCCUGACGGAGCAACGCCGCGUGAGUGAUGAAGGUCUUCGGAUCGUAAAACUCUGUUAUUAGGGAAGAACAAAUGUGUAAGUAACUAUGCACGUCUUGACGGUACCUAAUCAGAAAGCCACGGCUAACUACGUG
rnacentral:rRNA from 1 species